rnacentral:rRNA from 1 species
UACGGAGGAUCCGAGGCGUUAUCCGGAUUUAUUGGGUUUAAAAGGGGUGCGUAGGGCGGCCUUGUUAAGUCAGGGGGUGGAAAGACGGAUUAGCUCAACUAUCGCAGUGCCCUUUGAUACUGAUGGGCUUGAAUUGUAUCUAGAGGUAGGCGGGAAUGUGACAAGUAGCGGGUGAAAAUGCAUAGAUAUGUCACAGAACACC